AGCUUUUCGAUGAUGAGGAGAGUAGAUGUCAGAAUCUGUAAAAGCGAGCCGGGGAUGGUGGAAGUCCGGUACAAACCUGAGAUUGAAACGCACCUCUGAGAAUUUUGUUGAAUCCAAUGGGGGUAGACAAAACGGAAUCCCACCGUUAGCGGGGAAUAGAGUGGGUACUGAUUGUACCAAUAAGAGUGGUAACACGGGAAUUGACUCUCGUCUCUUGC
rnacentral:ncRNA from 1 species